AUGCUUUCAUGUGUUCCUAUCACAGAAAAUAGUAAUCGCUUUGUCAUGUAGGUGGUAUGCCGAUUCAAUGUUAAUCGCUUCUGAACGAAUCCCAUCCAUUCUAUAAGUUCAAGCAUAAGUACCUCUUGUACCUUCCAUCCUUGACUUUGCUCGAGAGACGAUAUUCUUCUUUUGAAGUAGCUUCUUCGCUAGAAGUCAUUUGACGUGUCUCCCUCCACCUCAAGCUCUCCGGUUGAUAAAUGCAAGACCUUGUGUAAGAUAUUCUCAUCUAUCCCAAUCAAGAGUCCUCUUACC
rnacentral:lncRNA from 1 species